rnacentral:rRNA from 1 species
GACGAGCGCUGGCGGCGUGCUUAACACAUGCAAGUCGAACGGGAUAAUUUGAGAGCUUGCUCUUAGAGAAUCUAGUGGCAAACGGGUGAGUAACACGUAGACAACCUGCCGACAGGAUGGGGACAACAUUCCGAAAGGAAUGCUAAUACCGAAUGAAGCGGAGGAGAGGCAUCUCUCCUCCGUGAAAGAUGGCCUCUGAAUAUGCUAUCACCUGUCGAUGGGUCUGCGUCUGAUUAGCUAGUUGGUGAGGUAACGGCUCACCAAGGCGACGAUCAGUAGCCGGUCUGAGAGGAUGAACGGCCACAUUGGGACUGAGACACGGCCCAGACUCCUACGGGAGGCAGCAGUGGGGAAUCUUCCGCAAUGGGCGCAAGCCUGACGGAGCAACGCCGCGUGAGUGAAGAAGGUCUUCGGAUCGUAAAGCUCUGUUGACGGGGACGAACGUGCGAAGGGUGAAUAAUCCUUUGUAAUGACGGUACCUGUCGAGGAAGCCACGGCUAACUACGUG